rnacentral:misc_RNA from 1 species
UACGGGGGGGGCAAGCGUUGUUCGGAAUUACUGGGCGUAAAGGGCGCGUAGGCGGCUUCGGAAGUCAUGGGUGAAAGGCCUCGGCUCAACCGAGGAAUGGCCUGUGAAACCACGGAGCUGGAGUGCUGGAGAGGAAAGCGGAAUUCCCAGUGUAGCGGUGAAAUGCGUAGAUAUUGGGAGGAACAUCUGAGGCGAAGGCGGCUUUCUGGACAGACACUGACGCUGAGGCGCGAAAGCCAGGGGAGCAAACGGG